CGACGGGUAACGGGGAAUCAGGGUUCGAUUCCGGAGAGGGAGCCCGAGAAACGGCUACCACUUCCAAGGAAGGCAGCAGGCGCGCAACUUACCCUAAUCUCGAUUCGAGGAGGUAGUGACAAGAAAUACCGAUGCGGGACCCUACGGGUGCCGCGUUCGGAAUGAGUACGAUUCGAACCACCUAACGAGGAACGAUCGGAGGGCAAGUCUGGUGCCAGCAGCCGCGGUAAUUCCAGCUCCAAUAGCGUACGUUAAAGUUGCUGCAGUUAAAAAGCUCGUAGUUGAACGUUCGGGUUCCGCGGGACGGGGCCGCCCCGCGAGGGACGGCGCCGCCCCGGGGCUCGUGAUAUCUCAUCUCGCCGCCCGUCGCGAGGCGGACGGAGGGAUGGAUGAGGUUACCUGG
rnacentral:rRNA from 1 species